GUCUAUGACCAUACAGCCCUGAGCAUGCUUGAUCUUGUCUGAUUUCAGAAGUUAAGCAGGGUCGGGAAUGGUCAGUACUUGUAUGGGAGAAUAGAUUUAAAUAAUGCUGUGAUGUUCU
rnacentral:rRNA from 1 species